UCUUUUAACAUCAUUAGCUUGACCCAGUAGAGUUCAAACACCCAUCAGUAGGCGUUGAUACUCCUUUUGCUUGCUAUUUUCUUCUUUUUCUUCUUCCUGCUGAAUCUCUUCAAAAAGUUGAUCAAACCAAGCACCGGUUUCCAUGCUUCAAUCAUAGGAAUUUUGAUCUCCAAUUUCUUGAAGAUCUUCAUACAGUACUUGAACUUCUUUUCCUUCCUAUGAUUUUUCUUUUUAUGAGGAAGGGGCUUUUCAUAUGAUCUUUUCUUCUUUCCUCUCUUCCACUUUUUCUCAACCUUCUCCUUCUUCCACUUUGUUUUUUUCUUUUUUCUUAUUUUCUUUUUUUUUCUUUUUUUCUCAACCACUGUUUUUUCUUUUUCCUCAACUUUCUCUCCCUCACUCAACCUUUCUGCUUCAUCUUCCUGUAUUUUCUCCUCUUCUAUCUUUAACACUUCUCUCUGCACCUUCUCCUCAUCAACAGCCUCAUCAAUUUGUGUUUCCAAAUUCCUGAAGGUAACU
rnacentral:lncRNA from 1 species